GAUAUUUCGGGUAAUCGCUAUAGCAAUAUAGAGGAAAGUCCAUGCUCACACAAUCUGAGAUGAUUGUAGUGUUCGUGCUUGAUGAAACAAUAAGUCAAGGCUAAUAGACGGCAGUGAAAUAAUCUAAGUCUUUUGGAUAUGAUUAAAGUAGCUUGAAAGUGCCACAGUGACGGAGCCUUUACAGAAAUGUAAAGGGUGGAACGCGGUAAACCCCUCGAGUGAGCAAUCCAAAUUUGGUAGGAGCACUUAUUUAGCGGAAUUCAACGUAUAAAUGAGGGAAUAAGUGUGCGUAAAUACUUAUUCCAGACAGAUGGUUACCACCGGCGUACGAGUGACUACUAGUGCACGUUAUCAGUACUAAGGUACAGAACAUGGCUUAUAGAAAUA
rnacentral:RNase_P_RNA from 1 species